CGCGAUUUUCAAGCGGUGGAAAAUAUCUCAUUUCGCUUUGCUCACUUUACACAGAUUACACACAAAACACAAACGUUAAUUAAUAUGAAGAGGAAAGGAUGAAACUAGUUUUUAAAUAAACACUUUUGAAUUAAGUAUGGAAAAUGCGGAGAAUACUAAGGGUGUUAAAAAGGCAAAUAAAAAUCUAAAAUGUGAAGCUUGCGAAGCAGAUGGGAUACAAAAACCUGCAAUCGCGUUCUGCAUUGAUUGUCAGGACUAUCUGUGUUUUGACUGUUCCAGUUACCACUGUGUCACGAAGCCGACGAAACAUCACAAAGUGUUAUUACAGCAUGAGAUGCCAGAAAGAAAAGCUUCAACCUCGCUCUCAGAAGAUUGUGCAAAACACAAAGGUGAGACAAUAAACUUUUAUUGUAAAGGUCACCAGGCUUUGGGCUGUCAUACCUGUAUCGCAACCGUGCAUCGCACAUGUAUUUCUUUGCAAGCAAUUACAGAUUUUACGAACGAUAUAGAUAAAGCUGCAUUAUAUAAUGAAGUAAAAAAGGAACUGAAAGAAAUGGAGCAAUUACUUAAAACACAGAAAAGGAGAAUCCAAGAAAAAGAUAUGUUAAGCAGACGCUGCAAUGCAACCGACCUGACAGAGGUGAGGCAACGAAGGAGAUUAUAAACAAACAGUUUGACAAACUGGAACAAAACAUUGAGAAAGAAUCAACAAAAAUGCUAAACGAAGAUAGCUUAAAAAUGAAAAAACUGAAUGACUCAUGCACUGCUACACUUGAUGCACUUGAAGAGAUAAAGUCUGACCUUGACCUUCUUGAAGUGACGAAGCAACAAAAACAAUUGUUCAUAGCGACAGUGAAAACUGCUGUGAAGAUAAGAGAAAUGAAAUCAGCUAUUCUGACAAUAAAGGCAGACACGAAAAUAAGAUCAUUUCAGCUGUUUCCGAAUAUGCUAUCAAAUUCUCUUGCGGUCAGAGAAGACUCUUUGGGCCAACUUGAGAUCUGCGAAUUUAAAAAAGAUAUGCAGGCCGACUCAAAAAGCAGUUAUGAACAAGUCGGCAUUUCAACACUCAUAGAAAUGCGAUUAACAAGCGUCGUUGCGACCGAUUAUCAACGGUGUCUGGUAGUCCUCUAUGACUGUAACUUCACUAAAAAAGGACAGCUAAAGGUUUCUACGGGCCCAUGGGAUAUGACGAGAACGAGCGAAAAUAUCGUUGCAGUCACACUGCCACACGAGAAGAAAAUUAAAUUUCUGUACAUUGACAACAAGAUUCAAGACGUCCAUCAGAUAUCAGCACCAGGCAACUGCAGGGGUAUAGCAGCCGUUAAUGAUAAGUUAGCGGUGACAUUUUCAAAUCUUGCAGGUAUAAAAAUAAUAAGUGUUGUCAGAGAGGUGAUCAAAGAUAUUCCUUUGAAUACAACAUCUGUGCAGCUUAAGGGACCCGCUUAUGUCGCUGUGGAUGAAGACAAGAAUAUUUUUGUAACCGACCCUGUGUCGAAUUCAGUAGCAAGAAUUAACUUAAACGGAUGUGUUCAAGGAGUUUGUAGGAGUAUAAAAAAGCCGUUGCACAUAUGUGUUUACAACAAGAAUUUAUUUGUUUCUGAAUGCGGCUCGGCCAUCGUUCACAUAUUGACUCCAGACUUAAAAAAAGCUGGACUCCGAUGACAGUUUCAGCAAAAGACUUUAUUGGUGAUGUUGCCAUCUCCCCGAGUGGAAUCACAUUCCAGGGGAUUACGAAGAUGAAGCAAGAAGAGUUGGAUACGUUGCAUGAACUUGGAAAUGUACAAUUUACUAAGGGAAAUGUACAAUUUGUUAAGUUCAGGCCCCGCUUUCACUAACGUUCUCAAGUCAAAAUCUCAGCCCAAGUCUGAGAAAAAUCUCAACUUUGAAUCUCAGCUUGAGAUUUUUCUCAGAUUGGCUUGCACUAAAAAUCUCUCAAUAAAAUCUCAACUUCCGCACUGAGAUUUUUCUCAGAUUUCUUGAGUCAAGGGUUGGGCUGUCUCAGUGCUUUUCUCAAAGAAACAAAAUGGCGACUUUUCGACGAUACAAUAUACGCCGCCGCCGAAGUCGGUGCCAGUUUCACGUUGAGUUCACCAGCAUGACAUGGAUGACAACAAACUUCGUCAGAGACGAGUUACAGACAAGGUUGAUAGAGUUUUACAGAGAAAAUGUAUUGCACAUGUCUGCAAUUCCGCUUCAGUCAGAAGGUAAUAUGUGUGACUUUAAAAAUGUGUACGUUAGACCUCGAAUGAUGAUUGAAACAAAAGAUGAAUUCAAUGAGAAAGCAACAGAUGUUCUAUCAAUGUCAGAUAUCUUUACAAAAGACGGCAAGUCUAUAAAAUCCAUCUUUAUUAUCGGAGGAGCGGGGUCAGGUAAAAGCAGUUUCUGUAAAAGUUUGGAACAUUAUUGGUGUUAAGCACAUUCUGAUGAAGGACAAAGUAUUGAAGAUGAGUUCAGUGGGAUCAAGGAAAUGAAGAAAUUUAAAUUCUUGUUUCACCUUCCUCUCCGUCAUUAUACAGCUAAGAUGAAAAUCAAAGAAAUGUUAAAAGAAAAGUAUGAGCACCCUGCUCUUAAGAAGCUUCUUGAAUGUGAGUCUCGAACCUGUCUCGUUGUUCUUGAUGGUCUUGAUGAAUGGGCUCCCCCAGCGUCGUCGAAAUGUCCCCCUGAACGCGGCUCAUUGAAGAAAUAUACCGUAAUAACGACAUCACGACCAUGGAAAUUGCAUCGUUAGGAAUAACCGAUAAUUUGAUACGACAAAAAGAUUGUCCUUAAAGGGUUUGAUGAUAAAACAUAUGUAAAAACCAUGAUUAAAAAGACGAUGCCAGUAUUAAACAAAGCGUUCAAGAAAGACAAAGUUUCAAGUGAUUGUGAAAAGGCGCUUGAAAGCAAAUCAGCGACAAGUCUACAACAAACGAUUAUUUUGCAACAGUUGAUUUGCCUUUGGUUUGACGACACACUUCGUGGUGGAACCUCCAGUUGUGCCCUAUACACAGAAAUGCUUGACCCUUUUCUUUGACAAGAACAUUACGAAAUACCCCGACGAUCCACUAUUCACAGAAACGAUGAAGAAAUCGGAAGACCUGAAAAAUGUAGAACUUCCUCGUUAUCUGGUAGAAACGGAAGUCUGUUAAUCGUAUAGUUAUAUCAUUAAGGGCGUAUCAAAGCUAGCGUAUGAAACAUUGUUCAAUAACACGAAAGAAACGUCAUUGUCCUUUGACAGUUCUACUUUUGACCGACUGAACAUAUCAAAUGAAGUAAAAACAUGUUGACGAAUGUCUGAAAUUGGGAAUCCCGUCAGAAGAUAAAUGUCUCAGUUUGUCUGCAAGUAGAAGUAGAAGGUCGAUUAUUGCAUUUGUUCACAAGUCAUUUCAAGAAUAUGUGGCUGCUAUAUAUAUUGCUAUCCGUUUUGCAGAUCAUAUCGCGCCGUUGGCAGUUACGAGAAACGCAGAUUUGUCUGGUCAUUGUUCGCAAUUUAUUAGAGAUUUUUUCCGUAAGUAGUCAUCAUGCUGUGCGGUUUAGAACCUCAAAUCGCUGAAUACAUUUCAAAAUAUAUAUACGAUAUUGUAACAAGUGACGAACGUAGCCUAAAGUACAGAAGACAACUAUCUAAUGAAUAUAGAAAAAUAGAAAUCUUAUCAAAUAUCUGUAAAGAAGAAAUGCUAGCGUCUCAAACUCAUAUACAAUGUAACUUUUAUGUAAGUGACAUUCUCGUGACGAGUACGUCAAAUUGCGAUCGUUUCUGUACAAAUUUUGAAAAGGAUUUCAUUUCUCCUCAAAUUGUCGUUUCGUUUAGAUUUGAUGCACUUGGAAUGGAAAAGUAACUGAAGAACGCAUUGAAAUAUUUGCAGAAAUGUCGGCGACUUGAAGUAAUUCACAUUCUAGAUAUUCCUAAUAUUGAUGCUGAAGAUAGGAAGUAUAUCUUUGAUGCCACUGAAGAUAAUAAAUCAACAAUGAAAUCACUACAUGUAGCAUUUAACGGUUAUAAGACCCAAGCACAAAAGACAGUAGUCAGUGGUCUGCCAGAUAUGAGACAUCUUGUCGUAUUAUGCAUCAAUAAAUUUACAAUGACACC